UUCUCUAUCAUCAACAAGCGUGGAAGCAUUGGUUUGCACCCAGGAUUGGCUUAAAGUAAAAGAUCAAGACAUUGAGACUUCAUCUGUGGUUACAAAUGAUGAUCUUGACACUCUACAUGAACUUGAGCAAGAUAUUCUUUCUCAAUUAAAUUUUGAUGGCCAUUCGGCUUCUUUGAGGCUUGAUGAUGAUUGAAGGCUUGCAGAAAAUGGCAAUUCAAUUUAAACAAAAGGUGACUG